UACGAAGGGGGGCUAGCGUUGCUCGGAAUCACUGGGCGUAAAGGGUGCGUAGGCGGGUCUUAAGUCAGGGGUGAAAUCCUGGAGCUCAACUCCAGAACUGCCUUUGAUACUGAAGAUCUUGAGUCCGGGAGAGGUGAGUGGAACUGCGAGUGUAGAGGUGAAAAUUCGUAGAUAUUCGCAAGAACACCAGUGGCGAAGGCGCUCACUGGCCCGGUACGUGACG
rnacentral:rRNA from 1 species